rnacentral:lncRNA from 1 species
GACUAUUGGAGUUGGAAACAUAAUAUUCCUGACUGUUGGAAACAUAAUAUUACUGACUGUUGGAAACAUAAUAUUACUGACUGUUGGAAACAUAAUAUUACUGACUGUUGGAAACAUAAUAUUACUGACUGUUGGAGUUGGAAACAUAAUAUUACUGACUGUUGGAAACAUAAUAUUACUGACUGUUGGAGUUGGAAACAUAAUAUUACUGACUGUUGGAGUUGGAAACAUAAUAUUACUGACUGUUGGAAACAUAAUAUUACUGACUGUUGGAAACAUAAUAUUACUGACUGUUGUAAACAUAAUAUUACUGACUGUUGGAGUUAGAAUCAUAAUAUUACCGACUGUUGGAGUUAGAAACAUAAUAUUACCGACUGUUGGAGUUAGAAACAUAAUAUUACUGACUGUUGGAAACAUAAUAUUACUGACUGUUAGAAACAUAAUAUUCCUGACUGUUGGAAACAUAAUAUUACUGACUGUUGGAGUUGGAAACAUAAUAUUCCUGACUGUUGCAGUUAGAAUCAUAAUUACUGACUGUUGGAGCUAGAAACAUAAUAUUAUUGACUGUUGGAAACAUAAUAUUACUGACUGUUGGAAACAUAAUAUUACUGACUGUUGGAAACAUAAUAUUACUGACUGUUGGAGUUGUAAACAUAAUAUUACUGACUGUUGGAAACAUAAUAUUACUGACUGUUGGAGUUAGAAUCAUAAUAUUACUGACUGUUACAGAUGAAGAACCACAUAUGUUACAUUUAACUACUUUUAAUAUAAACAUCAUACACCAUUAUUUGAUAUCCUGUCUAUAAAAUGAAGUGGUCAUGCAAACUCUUUACGCACCCAUUAGCCGGUAUUUCACAUUUAAAAUAGACUCACCCAGUGCUUAAUUUGUAAAUCGGGAGGUGCCGGAACUCAUGAGAAAAUAAAUCACCUUUAUGAUAAAGCAUUGCGGGCAUAUCAUCACAUUUUCGUAGUGCCAUAGAGCAGUAGAGUUGAGGCACUUAUAGAGGUUGCACACAUGGGGAACAUUUUUAGCAGCCUAGGGUCCGGGAAAAAUGUGGCCUUUUAUAAACGCAUUUCAUGCAAUUCCACUUCAUUUUACAUGACUGGAGACUUUGGCAGAAUCUUUUUUAAAACCACACAAAUUAUCGAAAUGGCAGGAUACUUUGACACUGACAAACUGAGAAUCUAAGUUCAAUAAAAACGACCUUGUCUUGAAUCCAUCAAUAGUCUAUCCCAAGCGGUGUGGAGACACAUGUUGUAGGCUACAAUACGAGGAGGAAAUUAUAGUCAUAAACAUGCUUUCCAGUUUCACUGACACACCCAAUGAUGAGCAGCUCAGUCACUGGUGAUAUUUUGGUAGCCUACAGCAUAGAGUAUUUUCUUUUCAGCAGGAACCAUUUGCUUUCCAACCUGUGUUUUCCCUCGAUUGUAUUUGAAAUAUUGCAUACCCAGAAAAACCUAUAUGUCCGAAGCAAAAAAUGGAGCGGCCAGUGGUUUGUCUGAGCGCAGCGGGCAAAACCCGUCAAAUAUUAUAAAAAAUGGAAGAAUAAACAUAAAUUAAUGGAAGACUUGAGGGAUGCAGGGAAACCUUACAUCGUUCUCAAGGGAGAACAAAAACAAGGGAAAAGAGCAUGGGAAGAGGUACGUGGAAGAACCAUCUAUGUAAAAGGUUCUGUUGGCUAACGUUAGCUAGCUAGCAUGGUAUUGUUUGCUUUAGCCUAAUAAUUAUCCUGAUAGAUGUCAAAACAUUAGACAUAAAACUGUCAUCAUGUUAAAUUGGUAAAUGGCAUGGUUUUUGUUUGGAUUUUAUGGUAACUUCUGCACAGAUACCUGUGUGCCAAACUUCUAGAGGAGCGCAAGCUACAGCUUGUCAUAUGACGACAAGCCUGGAUUCUUUCUGGAUUGGAACAGUCCACAGUCCGGAACCUCCAGAGACGGUCCACAGUCCGGAACCUCCAGAGACGGCUUACAGUCCAGAACCUCCUGAGACGGCUUACAGUCCGGAACCUCCUGAGACGGUCCACAGUCCGGAACCUCCUGAGACGGUCCACAGUCCGGAACCUCCUGAGACGGUCCAUGGCCCGAAGCCUCCAGCGAUGAUCCAUGGCCCGGAGCCUCCAGCGAUGAUCCAUGGCCCGGAGCCUCCAGUGAAGAGCCAAGGCCCAGAGCCAAGGCCCAGAGCCUUCAGCGACGGUCUGCAGUCCAGAGCCUCCAGCGACGGUCUGCAGUCCAGAGUCUUCAGCAACGGUCUGCAAUCCAGAGUCUUCAGCGACGGUCGGCAGUCCAGAGCCUUCAGCGACGGUCGGCAGUCCAGCGCCUCCAACGACGGCCGGCAGUCCAGAGCCUCCAGCGACGGUCGGCAGUCUAGAGCCUCCAGCGACGGUCUGCAGUCCAGAGCCUCCAGCGACGGUCUGCAGUCCAGGGCCUCCAGCGACGGUCUGAGGUCCAGAGCCUCCAGCGACGGUCUGCAGUCCAGAGCCUCCAACGACGGCCGGCAGUCCAGAGCCUCCAGCGACGGUCGGCAGUCUAGAGCCUCCAGCGACGGUCUGCAGUCCAGAGCCUCCAGCGACGGUCUGCAGUCCAGGGCCUCCAGCGACGGUCUGAGGUCCAGAGCCUCCAGCGACGGUCUGCAGUUCAGAGCCUUCGGCAACGGUCGGCAGUCCAGAGCCUCCGGCGACGAUCUAUGGUCCGGUUCCUCCGGCAACGAUCUACGGUCCGGAGCCUCCGGCGACGAUCCACGGUCCGGUUUCACGGAAGUGGGGGGAGCCUCAAGCGGAGCGGGGUCUGCGUCCCGCACCGGAGCCUCCACCGAGAGGAGUUGCCCACCUGGGUGAUGCCCACUUGGGUGGGCAUAUCUAUGUGUCUAUUUCUUUGUUGGCCUAGUAUGGUUCCCAAUCAGAGGCAGCUGUUUAUCAUUGUCUCUGAUUGGGGAUCAUACUGAGUCAGCCCUUUUUCCCACCUGUGAUUGUGGGAUCUUGUUUUUGUGUAGCUGCCUGUGAGCAGCCCAGAACGUAACGCUUCAUUUUCUUCUGUAUUGUUUUUGGUGAGUUUCAUAUUUAUUAAACAUGUGGAACUCUAAGUACGCUGCGCCUUGGUCCAAUCUUUACGACGAGCGUGACAUGGUGCUUAAAGUCAGUGAUGGAGAUAUGAGACUCCAGCUUCAGUGAUUUUUGCAGUUCGUUCCAGUCAUUGGCAGCAGAGAACUGGAAGAAAAGGCGGCCAAAGGAGGAAUUGGCUUUGGGGGUGACCAGUGAGAUAUACCUGCUGGAGCAUGUGCUACAGGUGGGUGCUGCUAUGGUGACCAGUGAGCUGAGAUAAGGCGGGCCUUUACCUAUCAAAGACUUAUAGAUGACCUGGAGCCAGUGGCUUUGGCGAGGAAUAUGAGCGAGGGCCAGCCAACGAGAGCGUACAGGUCACAGUGGUGGGUAGUAUAUGGGGCUUUGGUGACAAUACUACUUAAGUAGGUUUUUGUGGUAUCUGUACUUUACUUUACUAUUUAUAUUGUUGACAACUUUUAAUUUUACUUCACUACAUUCCUAAAGAAAAUAAUGUACUUUUAACUCCAUACAUUUUCC